rnacentral:rRNA from 1 species
CCUACGGGAGGCAGCAGUGGGGAAUAUUGGGCAAUGGGCGCAAGCCUGACCCAGCAACGCCGCGUGAAGGAAGAAGGCUUUCGGGUUGUAAACUUCUUUUGUCAGGGAAGAGUAGAAGACGAUACCUGACGAAUAAGCCACGGCUAACUACGUGCCAGCAGCCGCGGUAAUACGUGGGUGGCAAGCGUUGUUCGGAUUUACUGGGUGUAAAGGGCGUGUAGCCGGGUUGACAAGUCAGAUGUGAAAUCCUGCGGCUUAACCGCAGAACUGCAUUUGAAACUGUUGAUCUUGAGUACUGGAGAGGCAGACGGAAUUCCUAGUGUAGCGGUGAAAUGCGUAGAUAUUAGGAGGAACACCAGUGGCGAAGGCGGUCUGCUGGACAGCAACUGACGGUGAGGCGCGAAAGCGUGGGGAGCAAACAGGAUUAGAUACCCUAGUAGUC